UCUUACACUAGUCGAACAUCUAGUGCUACUGGCCUCCUUGUGUGUGUUUUUAGAGUUUAGUGUAUCAGUUAUCUUAGUGUUUGCUUACUAGUUAGCUGUGAAACUUUGUAUUGGUGUUUGGUGAAAUAAUAUAUGCUACUGUAUAUGCUGGAUGUGCUUUUAUACUCAGCAUCGGACAAACUCUCGGGAGAGAAGUGACUUGUGGAAGGAAGUUCACGGUAAUCUUGAAGGUUGUGUCUUGUGACUUCAGGAUGGAGCGGCGACGAUUACUGGAUCAGCCGGGAAACAACAGGAGGUACAGCACUAUUAAAGAGAGCUCCACCCCAAGUAUGAGUGACGAUGAUGCAACGGGUCGAGUUUUCCGACAGAUACUCAGUUCCUGGAGGAGGCGGUUGCUCUUCCACUCCCUGCAGGCAUCCUCUUGGACCAGACAGUGAUGAAGCCAUUUUUUCAGCUAUUAGAUUACAUAGCCAUCUCUUGCCAUCCUGGUUGAGGUGUUGCCCGUGUUGGGUGUACAAACGUCUGUCAGCUUCGCUUGCUUUGAUCACCGAGACAUUACAAUAAUUUUCACUUCGUUCCAUGAGACGCUUAUUUGUUCUUGUUACUUCCUUAUUUACACAAGACCAAUGUGCCAAAUCAUAUCUCUUUGGUAUAUCUACUAUAAUAACGUUUGU